UAAUCAUGUGGACUUUAAAGUAAAACAGGCUGGGAGUGAAUCCCAGUUCUGCUCCUCCGUGGCUGGAGCUGUGCAUCCCCUUAACCUUCCUUUAAUUGUCUUUAGAACUGGAAUAACAACCAGGAAGGCAUGAGGCUGUUGAGAGGAGAUAACACAGGCAGAAACCUUGAUUCAGGGCCCAUAUCUCUGGAUAUUUUUGGUCUCUUCCUCAUGGUUGUAAGAUGGCUGCCCUGGCACAAAACAUCAAAAUCUCCAUCCAAAUGAAGAGUAAGGAAUGAGAAGGACAAGACCCCACACUGAGGAAAAAUGCUGGGAGUGGAAUCAAAAUCUAGCCCAUCAGAGACAAUAGUGAUGAGGAAAAGGAAGGUUCAGAUAAAAAUGGA